rnacentral:rRNA from 1 species
GGAGUCUGGGCCGUGUCUCAGUCCCAAUGUGGCCGUUCACCCUCUCAGGCCGGCUAUGCAUCAUCGCCUUGGUGGGCCGUUACCUCACCAACUAGCUAAUGCACCGUAAGCCCAUCUACUUGUGUUUCAAACCUUUAAUAAUAAGAAGAUGCCUUCUCAUUACCUAUCCGGUAUUAGCGCCCGUUUCCAGGUGUUAUCCCAGUCCGUGUAGGCAGGUUGCUUACGCAUUACUCACCCGUCCGCCACUAAGAUACACAAGAAGAUCCUUCAGCAAGCUGCUCUCACUUCAGCGUGUAUCUCCGUUCGACUUGCAUGUGUUAGGCACGCCGCCAGCG